CCUACGGGUGGCAGCAGUGGGGAAUAUUGGACAAUGGGCGAAAGCCUGAUCCAGCCAUGCCGCAUGUGUGAAGAAGGCCUUCGGGUUGUAAAGCACUUUCAGUGGGGAAGAAAGCCUUGGGGCUAAUACCCUCGAGGAAGGACAUCACCCACAGAAGAAGCACCGGCUAACUCCGUGCCAGCAGCCGCGGUAAUACGGAGGGUGCGAGCGUUAAUCGGAAUUACUGGGCGUAAAGCGCGCGUAGGCGGUCUGAUAAGCCGGUUGUGAAAGCCCCGGGCUCAACCUGGGAACGGCAUCCGGAACUGUCAGGCUAGAGUGCAGGAGAGGAAGGUAGAAUUCCCGGUGUAGCGGUGAAAUGCGUAGAGAUCGGGAGGAAUACCAGUGGCGAAGGCGGCCUUCUGGACUGACACUGACGCUGAGGUGCGAAAGCGUGGGUAGCAAACAGGAUUAGAUACCCGAGUAGUC
rnacentral:rRNA from 1 species